AUACGAAGGUGGCAAGCGUUGUUCGGAAUCACUGGGCUUAAAGGGCGCGUAGGCGGACCAGAAAGUGUCUUGUGAAAUCCCCCGGCUUAACCGGGGAAUGGCAGGGCAAACUACUGGUCUUGAGGCAAGUAGGGGUGUGUGGAACUCUUGGUGGAGCGGUGGAAUGCGUAGAUAUCAAGAGGAACGCCGAAGGUGAAGACAGCACACUGGACUUGUACUGACGCUGAGGCGCGAAAGCGUGGGGAGCAAACAGGAUUAGAUACCCUGGUAGUCCACGCUGUAAACGAUGCCUACUAGGUUGUGGGGGUUCUGACACCCUCACAGUCGGAGCAAAAGUGUUAAGUAGGCCGCCUGGGGAGUACGGUCGCAAGGCUAAA
rnacentral:rRNA from 1 species